rnacentral:rRNA from 1 species
GACGAACGCUGGCGGCGUGCUUAACACAUGCAAGUCGAACGGAAAGGCCCUGCUUUUGUGGGGUGCUCGAGUGGCGAACGGGUGAGUAACACGUGAGUAACCUGCCCUUGACUUUGGGAUAACUUCAGGAAACUGGGGCUAAUACCGGAUAGGAGCUCCUGCUGCAUGGUGGGGGUUGGAAAGUUUCGGCGGUUGGGGAUGGACUCGCGGCUUAUCAGCUUGUUGGUGGGGUAGUGGCUUACCAAGGCUUUGACGGGUGGCCGGCCUGAGAGGGUGACCGGAAAAAUGGGGAAUAAGAGACGGCCAGAACGCAUAGGGGAGGAGGAAGGGGGAAAUGUGGAAAAGGGGGGGAAGGCUGGAUGCAGAAAGGCAGGGGGAGGGAGAAGGCCUGGGGGUUGGAAACAAGCUAGCGCCGGAAAAGAAGGGGGGGGAAGGGGAAUGGGAAAAGAGAAACGGAAAAACACGGGC